AAUAUUGCACAAUGGAGGGAACUCUGAUGCAGCAACUCCGCGUGAGUGAAGAAGGUUUCCGGAUCGUAAAACUCUGGCAUUGGGGAAGAAUAAAUCACGGUACCCAACGAGGAAGCCCCGGCUAACUACGUGCGAGCAUGCGCGGUAAUACGUAGGGGGCGAGCGUUGUCCGGAAUUACUGGGCGUAAAGGGUACUUAGGAGGCUAUAUAACUAAGGGAGGAAAUACCAGUGCUUAACACUGGAAUUGCAUUUGAAACUGUGUAGCUUGAGUGCAGGAGAGGAAAGUGGAAUUCCUAGUGUAGCGGUGAAAUGCGUAGAGAUUAGGAGGAACACCAGUGGCGAAGGCGACUCUCUGGUCUGUAACUGACGCUGAGGCGCGAAAGCGUGGGGAUCAAACA
rnacentral:rRNA from 1 species